GAGGGUUGCUGCUCACAAGGAAGCUAUUAAACCAAGAGUUCCAAAUGGUGAAGUUGAAAUCAUCCCUUCGUAAAUUUUACGGACGCCAUCACGAGUUGGUUGACCGUUAUGGAAUAACCGUUUCACAAAUGAAAUCGGAUAUGUUCCUUACGUCGUAACUACAAUCCCCUUCCCGUUCAUGAAUGUGACCUACCGAAUUAGACUAUUUACCGGAUUUGUUGUCACAUAAGCAACACGACGGGUGCCACAUGUGGAGCAGGAUCUGCAUACCCUUCCGGAGCACCUGAGAUCACCCC
rnacentral:lncRNA from 1 species